ensembl:snoRNA SNORA70 Small nucleolar RNA SNORA70
AGGAAAGAAAGAAAGAAAGGGGUCCCUGGCUGCAAACAGCAACCUCCUCAAUAGUGUACACAGCCUGUUGCUUUUAUGGGCUGCCCUAAGGGACCUUGGAGACACUG